GUCUACGGCCAUACCCUGAACAUGCCCAAUCUUGUCUGAUCUUGGAAGUUAAGCAGGGUCGGGCCUGGUUAAUACUUGGAUAGGAGACCACCCGGGAAUACUGGGUCCUGCAGGCU
rnacentral:rRNA from 1 species